GAUAUAGGCUUUAAAGAGGGUUUGCAUGAUGGAUUCUGGGAUAGCCUUCCUCUCAUAUCCUUUACUAAUUGUGUAAUUAGUAAUUACCACAAUUUUACUUUCCACCAACAUGGGUUGCGGUGCACUGGUGGGAGUGCUUCACCCUUAGCCAGAGGUCUCGGGUUCGAGUCCUGGGUAUGGAGAAAAUCAUGUUGGGAGCGCCACCACCAAAUGGGCCCUACAGUGAGCGACCCGAAUUUAGUCGAAGUUCCAAUGUGGGCUCUGGACACCAG
rnacentral:misc_RNA from 1 species